GGCUUUAUAUUCAUGGUUGUGAUAAUAGAAUGCAAUUUUAUUGGGGUGGUAUAUUAAGCCACUAAGGCCU
rnacentral:tRNA from 1 species